UCCUAGCAGGAUCAUGGAGUUAGAGCUUCCGUAAAUAGAAUUUGCUUUCCGUUUCCUCUAAACUUCAGCCUUUAUCGUGGAAUCUUAAUCCUUGACGUUUAUUCACAAAUAAGGAGAGAGAGAGGUUCUAAGUCUGAUAGAAGGUCAGCAAAAGAAGCUGUUUGUUGUUUGUUGUUUGUGGAAGCAGAGAGGAAAAAGAAGAGGGGAGACGGAUCUCAGUGAAAGGAGGGAAGGGAUGGAGAUCCAGCAAAAGCAAUUUAAAGUGAAGCUACAGUUGGGUUGAUACUGCAUUCUGGCAGGGGAAUGGAGUCAAGAGAUUAGAUGGGGAAGAGGGUUGAGGAGGGAAAAAGUCAGCAUUCCUGAGAUCAAGGAGACAACAGGAACAUCUGAAUGGAGAUCUCUGGUCUGUGAGUUUAUAAGCAAAAGUGUAGGCUAGCAGAGAAAUGAAUUCUGCAUUUAGCCUUACAGGAUACUUGCCUACUCAGAAACAAGAGACAAGAACGGGAAAAAUGUAUAAAGGAACUCCAAUUUUUGGAUUUACUUUUGUGAGUAUGAUUACCUCCAAAGCCACAGUUCACAGACCCUUCCCCACUGCAUGGAAAUCCAUCUAUGGAUCUCAAGGGAAGAGCAGCUUAUCUAGGUGAUUUCUAAGGUCCUGGAACUUCUAGUGCCAACAUUCUAUGAUCUUUAUCCUUCUUCUGACCUCAAGACUCUGGACCAUGGAUUUCCUCCUCAGAGGAGACGGAGGAGAAAUAAUGGGGUUUGUGGGUACUGAAAAAAAGACAUCAACAUUAUGACCAACGAAGUGCUACAGCAAAGGAAAGGCCCUGGGAAAACGUGUGUAGUAUUGAAGCGGCUCCUUUUUGUUGUGGGAAAGUUUAAUUUCUGCUCAUGAACUUACCCAAUAAACUAAUGCAAACAUUUAAA